ensembl:lncRNA
CCUCUGCUUCCUGCCUCUUUGAGGCUACUUGACCUGUGCCGUGGUUCUUCGUGGGUGUCUUCUGUCCCCGACGAGAUGGGACCUCCAAGGCGCUGGGGGAGAGAAGAAAGGGAACACCUACCUACUGGGGGCUUUCUGGUUGCCAGGUACCCCGUCGGGCUCGUUCACAGCGGCUGUUUCAUUUGUGCCUCAUCCCACCCCUGCGAGGAGCGGGCCGUGGCUGAAGAGGAGGCGGAGGAGACGGAGGUGGCGUGGGCUGUAGCAUCUUCGGAGCAGGAUAAAGAAGCCCUGGAACCCGGAGUCUUCAUGUCCUCAGCCCACGGGAUGGAGCCACGCUAACUGCUCCACAGAAAUGCCCUAAGCUGCUGCCAAGCCGGAGCUUCUGCAUCGGGAAAACGCCAUGGGAACGGAGCCUUGAGCAUUGGUGGUGGCAGAGUGAGGGUUAACCAGUGAGCCUUCCUGGGAGCUUUUUGAUGCCAGGUUCGUUUCCAAAUGCAGCGGUGGCUGCCUGCUUCCUGACGCGAUUGAAUCCCGUGGGAGGGGAGUUGGACACCCCGAAACCCCUCGUCACCAGUUCCGGGGCUGCAGAG